UACAGAGGUCUCGAGCGUUAGGCGGAAUCACUGGGCUUAAAGCGUGUGUAGGCGGAUCGUUAAGUGCCUUGUGAAAUCCCACGGCUUAACCGUGGAACUGCUUGGCAUACUGGCGGUCUUGAGCCACUUAGGGGCAACCGGAACAAACGGUGGAGCGGUGAAAUACGUAGAUAUCAGGAAGAACACCCGUGGCGAAGGCGGUUCUCUGGGACGGUACUGACACUGAGACGCGAAAGCGUGGGGAGCGAACAGG
rnacentral:rRNA from 1 species